rnacentral:lncRNA from 1 species
AAAGGAUGUAGUUUUGAUGUAGGAGGUUUAAAUGAAUCUGCAAACAAAACUACUGUCGUUUUAGCUUAGGCUUGCGUUUUAACGAAAGAAACAAAAACUUCUCUCAAAUUUCAACUCAAAGUCAAGCGUUCUCCUCUCUCGCUACUACCUGCGUUCUCAAAGUCAAGCGUUUUCUCCUUCUACAGCCACGGACCACAAUCUGCGUUUAUACCUUGCCGUCACUUUCGUUUUUUACCGUCGCCUCUGCAGCAAUGGUGCUCUUCAAGCGUACAAGCGCCAGGUUCGUUCUCAGUUUUUUUUUUUUUUCGUUUUGCUUCGUCCCUUUUCCUUUUUCUCUUUUUUUUGCUUCGUUCUCAGUUUAUUUGCUAGUUUAAUUUGCUCCAAGUAAACUGUUGGUUUCAGAUAGGAAAUUACUAAACUUAUUGAACUUUAAGUAGGAAAUUUAUCAAAUUAUUAUAAUAUCAAAGUAUUUAUUUAUUUAUUUAUUUUUCAGAUUCUUGUCCAUGUGCGGAGUUGAAAGUUUUUUGUGCGGAAGAAGAUGUUGAUUGUUAAUACUUGCAAUCUUGGUUGUUGAAUAAGAAGAAUAUUGUUUGUAUUAAGAAUAUGAUGUUUAUGUAAAAUUUCUUUUGUUUUUGUUGUAGGGUUGUUCUGUUUUAAUGUAUUUUUUAAUUCAAUAAUUUCUUUUUAUUGAGAUACUUUUUUAUUAUGUUUUAUUUGGAUUUAGUUCUCGUUAUGUGAUAGUUUGUUAUAUUUUAAUUGAUUUUUAGUUUGUUAUUUUUAUUAUUCUUAUUG